rnacentral:lncRNA from 1 species
ACAUGCCUAACUGGUUAAGGUCAAACAACUGACAAGCAAAUCUGUAGUACUGAGCAGAAUAUUUGCUGUAGCUCAUCUUUUAUACCAAGACAAAACAAUGUACAUGAUAACACUUCCAAUCAGUUAAGAUCAGAAGCCAUGAGAACCAGUGCUUGGUACUGCAUCGUUCUUUCUUAUUCCUGGUUCAGACCUUAUACGUUUAGUAGAAAGGAUUAUUAUUAUUAUUAUUAUUAUUAUUGGUGUUGUUGUUGUUUGAUAUUACUAUUACUAAGUAGUAGUAGUAGUAGUAGUAGUAGUAAUAGUGGUAGUAGUGGUAGUAGUAGUAGUAGUAGUAGUAGUAGUAGUAGUAGUAGUAGUAGUAGUAGUAGUAGUAGUAGCUGCAGCAGUUGUAGAUGUGGGAAUGCUGAUGAUUACUUUACCGUCGUUUCACCUACGGCAGCUCUGAUGGAGCAAAUUCAUUAUGGAAAGCAUUCCAGCCCAUGACCAUCCUGUAUGUAGGACUGUAUUAGCUGAUGUGUCCUGUCCUCAUGUGAGAUUGCAGGCUGUGGUUUGAGGGAGAUCUGGCUGUUGUUUCUAGAAGGUUGAAACAACUAUGUAGAAACUCUCUUAUUCCUGCUCGUUGCUAUUAGUGUAGUGAAGGUGCGUGGCUUAGUGGUUAGGGUAUUCGGCUCACCGCCGUAAGGUUGUGAGUUCGACUCACGGCUGUGUGUUGUGUCUUUGAGCAAAAUGCUUUAUUUCAUGUUGCUCCACUCUUCUCAGCUGGCAAAAAUGAGUCGUACCUGUAAUUCAAAGGGGCCAGCUUUGUUACGUUCUUGUAUCAUAUUGAACCUCCCUGAGAACUGUCUGUGGAGUACUCAGCUAAUUUCACUUUAAUUUCACGAGUAACCUGUUCCAUUGGUCGGAUCAACUUGAACCCCACUCGUCGUAACCGACGGAGUACCAGUGGUAUUAUUGUGGUGGUGGUGGCGGUGUGGAUGUUUCUUGCUGCUGCUAACGUUAUUUGGACUGGUGUUGAUGGCGAUGGUGGUAGCAUUGGUGACAUUGGUGGUAGUAGUGGUAGUAGUGGUAGUAGUGGUAGUGUUCACUCAAAUCAUUGUAGCGCUGGUGUUGGUGUUAGUAGUAGUGGUGGUAGUGGAGGUGAAUGUUUUGGGGAUGUUAUUGGCUUCGACAAUGAUGGUGUUGGUUGCAGUGGUAGUAGUUUUGCGAAUGAUGAUGGUGGUGGUGGUGGUGGUAGCGAAUGUAGUAGUGAUGAUAUUGGUAUUAGUAGUGGUGUUGGUUCCCAAUAGUGGUGGAUUAUGUUGCAGCAGUUGUGGUGUUGGUUGCAGUGGUGGUAAUUUUGUUUGGCGGUGGUGGAGGUGGUAGGGGUGGUGGUAGUAGUGGUGAUAGUGUUGUUGGUGCGGAUGGUGGUGUCGGUUACAGUAGUGGUGGUGGUGAUUGUAGUAAUAAGAGCAUUGGUUGCAGGCGAUGAUUUUAGUUGCAGUAGAGGUGGUAGCGUUGGCUGCAGGUGGUAGUGGUGCAGUUGUAGGUGGUGGUGACGGUUGCACCACUGGUAGUGUUGGUUACAGUAGUACUGGUGGUGGUCGUAGUAGUAAAUGUAUUUGUCGCGUGUGGUCGUUGUAGUGGUACUGGUUACCUUAGUGGUAGCUUUGGCUGCAAGUGGUGGUGGUGGUGGUGGCGAUGGGAGUAGGGGUUGGUGCAAGUUGCGGUAGUAGUAGUUUUGGUUGUAGUAAUGAGGGUAUCGGCUGCAUGUGGAGACGAUAUUAUUGGUAGCAGCGUUGGUGGUUUUGCUGUCUGCAGUCGUCGCUGGAACAGAUGAAAGCAAUCCACGUCUGACCAUUGCUACAAUAAAUAUCUAAUGGUUAAAGGUAAUAAACUUUGAUUGGUCAAGUUAAUAAAUAUUCAAUGCUGUCGGUCAGUAGUGCCACCUAAUGGUCAGUCUGGUAAUCAAAAGUGCUAAAUAUUCGAUGGCCAAGCCAAUAAAUAUAAGCUGGCAAAACAAAUUAAUGUCUGGAAAUAACGGACGAUAUAUCAUGAAAGCCGAAAUUACCCACAGCUGGCUCCAAGUAGAGGCACUAGUAAUACUUAGAGGACAAAACGUGGUUAAUAAGUUCACUUAACUGACAUGUGUUUAUGAGGUGGGAGGAUCGAUCCCUACGCACGACACUCACCCUGGGAAAUUUGCUUUCUGUCUAAAAUAGCCACGAGUGGAUUGAUUGUGAAAUUUGUGAGUAGAAAUUGUUAGGGAGCCCGUCGUAUAUAGAUUUCUACAUACAUACAUGCUUGCAUACAUACAUACAUACAUACAUACAUACAUGCAUACAUACAUACAUAUAUAUAUAUAUAUAUAUAUAGGCAGACAGACAGAUAAACAUACAUACAUACAUAUUUGCAUAUAUAUAGGCAGACAGCACACAGAUAAAUGUACGUACAUACAUAUGUAUACACACACACACACACACACAAACGCACACAUAUAUAUAUAUACAUGUACACAAACAUAUACACAUAUUCAUAAAUAUAUCCACAUAUAUAUGUAUGUACGUACAUACACACACACACACACACAGAUAAAGUGAGUGAAACAUAAAGAGAGAUACGAAGAGAGUGAGAGAGAGAGAGAGAGAGAGAGACCGGUGGAGAAAGAGGAAGAGAGAGACGUUUAGGCCCUUCCAUUAGCCAGUUACUAUGGUGGGGGUGGUACUGGUGAUGGUGAUGCAGUGGUUAUGUUUCUAUUGUUGAUAGUAACGGUGUGAUGAUGGCGGUGGUGGUAUCGCUCAUGGGCAUAUGAGGGUAGUGGUAAUAGUGGAGGAUAAUAGGAUGGUGGCGGUGGUGAUUGGCUGCAGCGGUGGGGUUAUUGCUUAUCUCCAUUAUUAAGACAGAAGAAAUAUAACUGAGAUAGACUUAGUCGCUAUUUCUAGCUGGCUAACGCACCACAUAGACACCUCGUCUCGCUGCUGUUGUUAUUAGUGUUCUUUUGUCUGUUAUCUUUUUCUUGUUUCAGCACUGAGACUGUGGCCAUGCUGGGGCACCACCUUGGAGGAUUUUUCAGUCGAGUAAAUCAACCCAAUUUUUAAUAUCUGGUACAGAUUCUACCAUUCUCUUUUACCGAACUGCUAGGUUACUGGAAUAUAAACAAACCAGCACCGGUUUCUAAAUGAUGGUGGAUACAAGCACAAAACAACACACACCUAUAUAUAUAUAUAUAUAUAUAUAUAUAUAUAUAUAUAUAUAUAUAUAUAUAUAUAUAUAUAUAUAUAUAUAUAUAUACAUAUAUAUAUGUAUAUAUAUAUGUAUAUAUAUAUUAUAUAUAUAUGUGUGUAUAUAUAUAUAUAUAUAUAUAUAUAUAUAUAUAUAUAUAUGUAUAUAUAUAUUAUGUGCGUGUAUGUGUAUGUAUGUAUAUGUGCGUAUAAAUGUGUGCGUGUGUUUGCGUCCCUUACUACCGCUUGACAAUUGGUGUUGGUUUUUCCUUAUGUCUUCGUUACCUAGCGGCUCGGCAAAAGUGACCGAUAGAAUAAUUACCAGGCUGUAGGAAAAAAGAAAUACGUACUGGGGUCGAUCCAUUCGACUAAGAAUUAAAUAUGGCCGAUUAUCGCACAGUUUCCAUCACCCAAUUUCACUUGCAAGAUGUUGGUCGGUCACGUGCUAUAGUUUGAGACUGUAGUUUUGCAUUAUAGGUGCCGCAGAGUGGGAUUGAACCGAAGGCAACGUGGUUGCAAAGCGAACUUCUUAGGCAAACAUAAUUUUUUACUCUUUUACCUGUUUCAGUCAUUUGACUGCGGCCAUGCUGGAGCACCUUUCCGUGACCAACCUCCUGUAUAUAUGUUUUUCAGACAUAGUGUGUUUAGGAUCACAUAAUCCAAUACCUUUCUUUUGAAGUUGGUUGUUUACGGCUUGUGGCACAUUUGGGUGCUAUUUCUAGCGUGUCGGUGGCCCGCUCGUGGUUAAAAAUUAAGGCUGUUAUAGCUUCAUUAUCCCCAUCAUCAGUAUCAUCUUCAUUUGCAGUACCAGCGCCGGCAUCCACCCCCACCACCACCACCAUAUCACCCCCACCAUCACCCCUCCACUGUAGCUACUACUACAAUCACUACCAUCGCCGCCACCACCACCACUACCACCCACACCACAGUUACCACCACCACUGCCUCCAUCGUAGCUACCGUAACUACCACCACAACUACCAACAACAACAACAACAGCAAAUACAACAACAACAACAUUCCCAUUACCACCACAACCACAACCACUAUCAUCAACACCUGCCUCCCCCCUACCAUAUCCCCACCAUAUCCCCACCAACUCCCUCCCAUUCCUUCCCACAGCUUCUAAGUAUUGUCAUCUCGCUAUUUUCCUUAAUUCUUACUCCAAGAGUUUCCUGAAAUCUUCCAAUGAAAUCUGUCAACAUUUUCUAUUCACAUCAACUCGGUUUGUUUAGUCUCAGCAGCACACCUGUUGUUGUUGUGCUGUUGUUGCUGUUGUUGCUGCUGCUGUUAUUGCUGUUGUUGUUGCUGCUGUUGUUGCUGUUGUUGUGAUUGUUGCUGUUGUGAUUGUUGCUGUUGUGAUUGUUGCUGUUUUGAUGUUGUUUUCUUCUCUGUGCUUGUGUAGGGAGGUUCUUUGUUUUACUUGUUUCUGUUUUUCAUAUCUGUUUUUGCAUUAUGCACACACACACACACACACACAUACACACACACAACACAUACAAGUUUAAAUCUCGCUUCAAGUUUUUUUUAAUAUAUUAAAUGUAUAGAUGCAUACAUGUACAAAUUAUGCAUAUGUUUGCAUGUAUAUACGUACGUAUGUGUGCAUAUAUAUAUAUAUAUAUGUGUGUGUGUGUGUGUGUGUGUGUGACCGCAAUUUUUUUCUUCCAUCUUCCCUUCCUUGGAUCUUUCCUUUUCCUAUGUUUCUGACGAAGAGCUGCGCUCGAAACGUUAAAUCCACGUCCUCGCGUUGUUGUGUUUUCUCUUUGUGUUUUCAUGUUUGGAUUAACUAUAUAUAUACAUACA